rnacentral:lncRNA from 1 species
GGAAAUGAAGUCCAUCCGGAACGUUUCUGGCGCUGCGAGAGCUCAGCGCCCCGAAUGCGCAGAUGCCAGGACUCUCUUCGGCGCGCGGUGGAGAACUGAUAGACUUCGGAAGGAAGAUGGUUGCUGGUGAGGCUAGCGUACGUGGAAAUAGCGAGUGGAAUCUGAGUCCAGUCCGCAGAAGGCGGGGUGGGAUCCUGGGGACUUCAGAACCCCAACCAGCGGCAGGAGGAGACGGCGGGCUCUUGGUUCUUCAGUGGGACCUGUGAAAACAGCACUGUACCUGCUGACCUUAGGUGAAACUGCAGUAAACUCUGACCUUCCCGUGUGAGUUUUCCAUGACCCCAGGAUGAAGUGGAACAUCUCCUUCCCCAGAUGUCUGGGCACCUUGAAAAUGAAGUUUGAACACAUAUUUUGGUCUCCUAAUAAAACUUCUCUUCCCAGACUCUUUGUAAAUAAGCAAUAAAAAGUUUGAGUGCUUUUGUGACUGUGUGUGGAAUUAUAUAAUAUAAUGCACAUUUUGAGGCCUGUGAGAUUAUGGCUUUAGUUAUGAGAUUGUGUUUUUAUCUGUGAGUAUGACUUAAAAUGUAUAUGAUGCCUUCAAAGACAUGCUUUUGUUAUGUGGGCAUUUUAUGGAUAUUGUGAAUGUGGAUUACUUAUAACAGGCUUAUUAAGUGUGAACAGACUUAUUAAGUGAGAAACUACAUGAGAUGGAAAUGUGUGAUUUUGAUUAUAUGAAUAUAGAACCCUGUGAUAUUAUGACUGUAUAUCUUGGUGAGUGACGAUAGGCUGCCUUACUCUUUCAACAAAGAAUGAGAGGAAUAUUGCACCUUUAUGGAACAAUAACUUUAAGAUUUGGGUUAAAGAAUUUGCUAUUUAUUUGGCAAAUCAUUUGGAUAUUUUAUGCUCUAUUACUUAGCCUUAAAAAUAAGAAAUCCGACACAUGCUAUAAUGUGGAUGUAUCUAGAGAACAUUGUACUAAGUGAAA